rnacentral:rRNA from 1 species
AAUAUUGCGCAAUGGUCUAACGACUGACGCAGCGACGCCGCGUGAGGGAUGAAGCUCCUCGGAGUGUAAACCUCUGUUGCCAGGGACGAACAGCUGAAUUCAUUCAGCCUGACGGGACCUGGUGAGGAAGCACCGGCUAACUCCGUGCCAGCAGCCGCGGUAAUACGGGGGGUGCGAGCGUUGUCCGGAAUCACUGGGCGUAAAGGGCGCGUAGGUGGCCUGAUAAGGGUGUGGUGAAAGUCCGGGGCUUAACCCCGGAUCUGCCGUGCCGACUGUUAGGCUAGAGUGCUGUAGGGGCAGGCGGAAUUCCGGGUGUAGCGGUGGAAUGCGUAGAGAUCCGGAGGAAGACCGGUGGCGAAGGCGGCCUGCUGGGCAGAUACUGACACUGAGGCGCGACAGCGUGGGGAGCAAAC